GUGUGGCUAGACAUAGAGAAUCCAACACAAGUCCCCUAGAACACAGAGGCAGCAAAGGAGAAAGGGGGAGAGUCAUGGAAAAUUGACUGCAAUUCUGUUUUGCCACACUUAGAAGAAUGGAAUUAAAAACAUAAAUCUAAUAUAUUGAAUCAGAGAAAAGUAAAGAAAGUGAGGGUUUUAAGAAAUAAAGAUGAAGAAAGAGCAAAAGAGAAAAGGAAAGAAAGAAAAAAGGAGAAAAUGGAGUCCAAGAAAGAAGUUUCCUCACACCUUCCUGGAGAGUUUGCUUGGCCCUGAGCAGCCUGCCUAGACUGAAGCAGAAGAAGAUGCCAGGUCAGGUAUUCACAGAGGCUGCGGGGCUGACGAUGAGCCCCAACAGGUGGAACAAAAAGUCACAAGUCUUAUCAAUUACCCUGCAACCUGAAUAAGCCACAGAAUCUGAAGCUUGUGUUUGUUUCUAUGCAAAAUGGGGAUAAUUAAACCAU